GUCGUCUCAUAAGUGGUCAAUGCGCUGACUGGAGGUACACGCCUGUGGUGGCGACGCAACAGGAUGUCCCAUUAAACUUAUGCCGAUUCUAAUAUCACCUAUAGAAGGUGUGAUGGACAGAACAUUCCAUUCUUUAUAUACAAUCACGUUGUGCUGCUGUUGGUGGGGUACAAGGUAAGGGUGGUAUGGAUUGAUGUUGUUCAUCCUGC
rnacentral:lncRNA from 1 species